AUGAACGCUGGCGGCGUGCUUAACACAUGCAAGUCGAACGAGAAGUGAAGACGGAAACCUUCGGGCGGAAGGCUUAAUUUCGAGUGGCGGACGGGUGAGUAACGCGUGGGUAACCUGCCUCAUACAGGGGGAUAACAGUUGGAAACGACUGUUAAUACCGCAUAAGACCACAGCACCGCAUGGUGCGGGGGUAAAAACUCCGGUGGUAUGAGAUGGACCCGCGUUCGAUUAGCCAGUUGGCGGGGUAACGGCCCACCAAAGCGACGAUCGAUAGCCGAUCUGAGAGGAUGACCGGCCACAUUGGGACUGAGACACGGCCCAAACUCCUACGGGAGGCAGCAGUGGGGAAUAUUGCACAAUGGGGGAAACCCUGAUGCAGCGACGCCGCGUGAGUGAAGAAGUAUUUCGGUAUGUAAAGCUCUAUCAGCAGGGAAGAAAAUGACGGUACCUGAGGAAGAAGCCCCGGCUAACUACGUG
rnacentral:rRNA from 1 species